rnacentral:rRNA from 1 species
CCCUUAGAUGUUCUGGGCCGCACACGCGCUACACUGAAGGAGGCAGCGUGUACUCCUGGAUCGAAAGAUUUGGGUAACCCGCGAAUCUCCUUCGUGCUAGGGAUUGAGGUUUGCAAUUAUCCUUCAUGAACGAGGAAUUCCCAGUAAGUGCAAGUCAUAAGCUUGCGCUGACUACGUCCCUGCCCUUUGUACACACCGCCCGUCGCUACUACCGAUUGAAUGGUCCGGUGAAGCGUUCGGACCGUGGCCUUUGGACGGUUCGCCGUCUGUUGGCUGCGGGAAGUUCGUUAAACCUUAUCAUUUAGAGGAAGGAGAANUCGUAACA